rnacentral:rRNA from 1 species
CACGUAGGGGGCAAGCGUUGUCCGGAUUUAUUGGGCGUAAAGAGCUCGUAGGCGGUUCGGUAAGUCGGGUGUGAAACCUCCAGGCUCAACCUGGAGAGGCCACCUGAUACUGCUGUGACUCGAGUCCGGUAGGGGAGCGUGGAAUUCCUGGUGUAGCGGUGAAAUGCGCAGAUAUCAGGAGGAACACCAGUGGCGAAGGCGACUCACUGGACACGUAUUGACGCUGAGGUGCGAAAGCGUGGGGAGCAAACAGG